AACAGAAUCAUACACAAUCAAAAGGUUUUUGGACAUAGUAUUGACUGUAAAGAAUUGCAAAUAUUCUAAAAUAAGUAGUUGAAUCAACUGAACAAUGAUACAUAUAACAAUCCCAACACAUGAAUAAAAGAAUGUCACCUCAUCCUCCCUCAGCUUAUUGCAGUUUAAUUAUUCUAAGUCAAGAAUAGAUGUUAAAACUAACAUAACAUUAAUAUAUAUCACACAACUAUCAGGUUGCAUUUAG
rnacentral:misc_RNA from 1 species